AGCUUCACUUUCUUUUUCAUUUUUUUCCUUCCUUGUGCAUCUACUACUUCCACUUCCUCUGCUGAAUCACUAUCUUCAAGCUCUGAACCUUGUAGCUCCUGCAGUUCAUCUGUAUCAUAGUCACUGUCCUGCUCCCAUUCAGAUUUCUUCUUUUUUUUCUUCUCAAAUUUUUCAUCAACCCAUUCUUCAUAUAGAUCAUCAUCAUCUUUGCCUACUUCAUUGUCAGAGUCUACCCAGUCUGAAUCCCAUUCACUGUCAUCACUAUCACUGUCAUUGUCAUUUUCAUUGGGGAUUUCUUCUUCUACCACAAGUUUCCUCCUGCUUCUUCUAAGCUCAUGUCCAACAUUUAGUCCCACUGGUGGAACACUGCUACUCCCUUCAUUGCUGCUACCUGCAUGACAUUGG
rnacentral:rRNA from 1 species